rnacentral:rRNA from 1 species
UACGAAGGGGGCUAGCGUUGCUCGGAAUCACUGGGCGUAAAGCGCACGUAGGCGGAUUGUUAAGUCAGGGGUGAAAUCCUGGAGCUCAACUCCAGAACUGCCUUUGAUACUGGCGAGCUUGAGUCCGGGAGAGGUGAGUGGAACUGUGAGUGUAGAGGUGAAAUUCGUAGAUAUUCGCAAGAACACCAGUGGCGAAGGCGGCUCACUGGCCCGGUACUGACGCUGAGGUGCGAAAGCGUGGGGAGCAAACAGG